UACGUAGGGGGCAAGCGUUGUCCGGAAUCAUUGGGCGUAAAGCGCGUGUAGGCGGCCAGAAAAGUCCGCUGUGAAAACUCGAGGCUCAACCUCGAGCUGUCGGUGGAAACUUUCUGGCUAGAGUCCGGAAGAGGAGAAUGGAAUUCCUGGUGUAGCGGUGAAAUGCGCAGAUAUCAGGAAGAACACCCGUGGCGAAGGCGGUUCUCUGGGACGGUACUGACGCUGGAGACGCGAAAGCGUGGGGAGCGAACAGG
rnacentral:rRNA from 1 species